UACGUAGGGUGCGAGCGUUAAUCGAAAUUACUGGGCGUAAAGCGUGCGCAGGCGGUUUUGUAAGUCUGACGUGAAAUCCCCGGGCUUAACCUGGGAAUUGCGUUGGAGACUGCAAGGCUGGAGUCUGGCAGAGGGGGGUAGAAUUCCACGUGUAGCAGUGAAAUGCGUAGAGAUGUGGAGGAACACCGAUGGCGAAGGCAGCCCCCUGGGUCAAGACUGACGCUCAUGCACGAAAGCGUGGGGAGCAAACAGG
rnacentral:rRNA from 1 species